AUUUCGCUGACGAAUCUCAAAUAGGAUGAAACUCACGUUCUAAAU
rfam:Schistosoma mattheei strain Denwood, Zambia genome assembly, scaffold: SMTD_scaffold0005910